rnacentral:sRNA from 1 species
AGUUAUCCUCCUUUGUCCAUAAUUGUAGUUGCUUCAAUUUUGAAAAUUAACCAACUACAAUUAUGGACAAAGGGAGAUAAUU